UACGUAGGGUCCGAGCGUUGUCCGGAAUUAUUGGCGUAAAGGCUCGUAGGCGGUCCGUCACGUCGGAGUGAAACUCAGGCUCAACCCUGAGCGUGCUCCGAGACGGGCGACUAGAUGGUAUGCAGGGAGAACGGAAUUCCUGGUGUAGCGGUGAAUGCGCAGAUAUCAGAGAACACGUGCGAAGCGUCUCUGGCAUUACUGCGCUGAGAGCGAAAGCAUGGGAGCGAACAGG
rnacentral:rRNA from 1 species